rnacentral:tRNA from 1 species
GAUGAGGUGGCUGAGCAGUUAAGGUGAUGGACUGCUAAUCCAUUGUGCUCUGCAUGCAUGGGUUCAAAUCUCAUCCUCUUUG